UACGAAGGGGGCUAGCGUUGUUCGGAAUUACUGGGCGUAAAGCGUGCGCAGGCGGCUUUUCAAGUCAGGGGUGAAAGCCCAGAGCUCAACUCUGGAAUUGCCUUUGAGACUGAGUGGCUUGAGUACGAGAGAGGUGAGUGGAAUUCCCAGUGUAGAGGUGAAAUUCGUAGAUAUUGGGAAGAACACCGGUGGCGAAGGCGGCUCACUGGCUCGUAACUGACGCUCAUGCACGACAGCGUGGGGAUCAAACAGG
rnacentral:rRNA from 1 species